rnacentral:lncRNA from 1 species
CCGAAGAGACUUAUGUGGACCAAGGCGGUGCGUCUGUAGGACACGCGCCGUUACCAACCGCGGCUGAAUAUUGGAUGGGUACAGUUGACAUGGGAGGCAGUGAGGCACGCCGAUUCGAAGCCUCUUCCAUUAAACCACCUGCAGAACAGAGACAACCGGUCGGCGUCGGUGUCUUCGCCUCCGAUCCCGACACCCCCUUGGUCCGCCUCGGAUGGAGCAAGCAGGACUCCAGGAACAUGGCCACCACCAUCAUGGAUAGCGCCAAGGCCGUCGUCCUCGAUAUCUGCUUCCCGAGCCGAAGCCGACUUUGCCGCCGGAAAGAUCGCUGAAGCAGAGGUUACCGGGGGCGUGGCCGGUGGCCUGGAAGAGGAUGGUGGGGAGGACGGAGCCGUCGGACAUUUUGGGGAGCUUGUCGGGGUCGUAGUGGUCGCGGCGAGUUUCUGGUCGAUGCCGGCGACG